rnacentral:rRNA from 1 species
ACCCGCUGAACUUAAGCAUAUCACUAAGCGGAGGAGAAGAAAUUAACUAAGAUUGCCUCAGUAACGGCGAGUGAAGCGGCAAAAGCCCAAACUGGAAAUCUUGCGUACCUCGUGCGCACGAAUUGUAAUCUAUAGGGGGUUCGCUCAACGGGGGCCGGCGCAGAAGUUCUCCUCGAACGGGACGCCAGAGAGGGUGACAGCCCCGUACGUGGUGCCGGCGCCUACCGAGCGGGUUCUCGAAGAGUCGGGUUGUUUUGUAUUGCAGCCCUAAGCGGGAGAUAAACUUCUUCUAAGGCUAAAUACCUAUGGGAAACCGAUAGCGAACAAGUACUGUGAAGGAAAGAUGAAAAGAACUUUGAAAAGAGAGUCAAAAGACUUGAAAUCGUUGAGAAGGAAGCGGUAGAAAUUUAUCCUUCGGCGUGCGCCGGUGCAGGAUGCCUAGCCAUUGUCGCCGUGUAGCACCGCAAGGGCUGCUGGGGGCACCUGGGGAAGCGCCCUGCUUGGUGUACGUCGUGAGGCAAGAUGAGGUCGCGCACCUGCAAAAGUGCCUCGCGCCGGGCUAGCUUGCUGGCAGUGCGAGGUGGCUGGUGGGCGUGCGGCCUGAGGAUGCUUCGUGCGAUCUUGCCAAAAUGGUUUUUACCGACCCGUCUUGAAACACGGACCAAGGAGUCUAACAUAUAUGCGAGUGUGCUGGUGGGGAAACCAACACGCGUAAUGAAGGUAAGCGAUGCCAAGCGCAAGCGGCAGCAUCGACCGACCAUGAUCCUCCGGUGAAAGGUUUGAGUAAGAGCAUAGAUGUUAGGACCCGAAAGAUGGUGAACUAUGCCUGAGUAGGGUGAAGCCAGGGGAAACUCUGGUGGAGGCUCGUAGCGGUUCUGACGUGCAAAUCGAUCGUCAAACUUGGGUAUAGGGGCGAAAGACUAAUCGAACCAUCUAGUAGCUGGUUCCCUCCGAAGUUUCCCUCAGGAUAGCUGGGACAAGUACGCAGUUUUAUUAGGUAAAGCGAAUGAUUAGAGGCAUCGGGGGUAAAAUGCCCUCGACCUAUUCUCAAACUUUAAAUUGGUAAGAACCCCGGCCUUUCUUAAGUGAGGCAUGGGGGCUCAAUGCGUGUCCCAAGUGGGCCGUUUUUGGUAAGCAGAACUGGCGAUGAGGGAUGCUCCUAACGUCGAGUUAAGGUGCCCAACUGCACGCUCAUCAGAAACUACAAAGGGUGUUGGUUCAUACAGACAGCAGGACGGUGGCCAUGGAAGUCGGAACCCGCUAAGGAGUGUGUAACAACUCACCUGCCGAAUGAACUAGCCCCGAAAAUGGAUGGCGCUUAAGCGUGCGACCGAUACUCGACCAUUGCGGCGAGAGUGAGGCCGCAAUGAGUAGGAGGGCGUGAGCGUUGUUGCGAAGCCUCUGGCGUGAGCCCGGGUUGAACAGCGUUUAGUGCAGAUCUUGGUGGUAGUAGCAAUUAUUCAAAUGAGAACUUUGAAGGCCGAAGUGGAGAAGGUUUCCGUGAGAACAGCAAUUGGUCACGGGUGACUCGAUCCUAAGACAUGGGGGAAAUCCUUGUUAAGUGCGCCGUAUGGCGCGAGGUCGAAAGGGAAUGAGGUUAAUAUUCCUCAAGCUGGAUGUGGGCGUUGUAUGGCAACAUAAGUGAGCUCAGAGACGCCAGCGUGAGCCUCUGGAAGAGUUAUCUUUUCUUUUUAACAGGCUAGCGACCCUGAAAUUGGAUUAUCCAGAGCUAGGGUCGUAUGCCUGGAAGAGCACCGUGCUUUUCGCGGUGUCAGGUGCGCUCACGAUGGUCCAUGAAAAUCUGAGUGAGAUAGUUUCACACCAGGUCGUACCCACAACCGCAUCAGGUCUCCAAGGUU